UACGUAGGUGGCAAGCGUUGUUCGGAUUUAUUGGGCGUAAAGCGAGCGCAGGCGGUUCCUUAAGUCUGAUGUGAAAGCCCCCGGCUCAACCGGGGAAGGUCAUUGGAAACUGGGGAACUUGAGUGCAGAAGAGGAGAGUGGAAUUCCAUGUGUAGCGGUGAAAUGCGUAGAUAUAUUGAGGAACUCCAGUGGCGAAGGCGACUCUCUGGUCUGUAACUGACGCUGAGGCUCGAAAGCGUGGGGAGCAAAAAGG
rnacentral:rRNA from 1 species